rnacentral:rRNA from 1 species
AACAGGAUUAGAUACCCUGGUAGUCCACGCCGUAAACGAUGUCGACUUGGAGGCUGUUCCCUUGAGGAGUGGCUUCCGGAGCUAACGCGUUAAGUCGACCGCCUGGGGAGUACGGCCGCAAGGUUAAAACUCAAAUGAAUUGACGGGGGCCCGCACAAGCGGUGGAGCAUGUGGUUUAAUUCGAUGCAACGCGAAGAACCUUACCUACUCUUGACAUCCAGAGAAUUUAGCAGAGAUGCUUUAGUGCCUUCGGGAACUCUGAGACAGGUGCUGCAUGGCUGUCGUCAGCUCGUGUUGUGAAAUGUUGGGUUAAGUCCCGCAACGAGCGCAACCCUUAUCCUUUGUUGCCAGCGCGUAAUGGCGGGAACUCAAAGGAGACUGCCGGUGAUAAACCGGAGGAAGGUGGGGAUGACGUCAAGUCAUCAUGGCCCUUACGAGUAGGGCUACACACGUGCUACAAUGGCGCAUACAAAGAGAAGCGACCUCGCGAGAGCAAGCGGACCUCAUAAAGUGCGUCGUAGUCCGGAUUGGAGUCUGCAACUCGACUCCAUGAAGUCGGAAUCGCUAGUAAUCGUAAAUCAGAAUGUUACGGUGAAUACGUUCCCGGGCCUUGUACACACCGCCCGUCACACCAUGGGAAUGGGUUGCAAAAGAAGUAGAUAGCUUAACCUUCGGGAGGGCGUUUACCACUUUGUGAUUCAUGACUGGGGUGAAGUCGUAACAAGGUAACCGUAGGGGAACCUGCGGCUGGAUCACCUCCUU